CCCCCCCCCCCCCCCCCCCCGGGGGCCGCCAACGGCUAUAGGUAGCACCGAUAAGGCCGCAGAGCCUGUCGAAGCCCAAUGAAUCCUUCCCCUCGCGCCCCAAGAGGGAAGAGACCCGCGGGAAAAGCCUGAGAGGGAAGAUUUUAGAAAGAGCGACUUGGGUCUGUGCAGGACCACAGAAAUGGCAAUGAAGGAAUCUGCUUUUUCACAUUCUCCGAGGACAACUUUUCACGACUUUCCAUCCUAAGCUGAGAAGCCUGUUUUAGUCCAGUAAAACACAGCUUUGGCAAGAUUUUUAAGCAAAUAGUCUAACAUCUUCAGUGCCUGCGAGGACAUUAUGACACAAGACAACCAGAAUGCUGCCUGACCUUUGGGAGUCUGUGCUUCAUGAGGGAAUCUGGGAAGGAAAAGGAUAAUGGAGAAGACAUUUCAAUUUUACCUCUGACCCUCAGAACAUUUCUGCUGGAGAUGUCUAGGUGAAAAGAGAUCUCAGUUCCUAAGUCCAGGUAUAUAACCAGUUUGCAAAGCAUCUCAGGAACCCCAAGUCCUGUAAGUGAAGUUCUCCUUUGCUAGGGUAUACACACCUUGGUGGCAAGCCUUCCCUGUAAAUCCCGGAAAACACUUGCAUUUGUUGGGUCCCACACAUUCACCAUGCUUACACGCAGGUUCACAAAUGGCUGUUGAGAGAAGAAACGUGAUGGAGAUUCUGUGAAAUUGGAGAAAAUGUGUGGGUCUUAAGACAAAACUAUGAAACAUAUUCUCAGGGCACAACAAAACCUUUGAUCCCAUGACUCAAAAGGCACGUUCGUUUCCAUUCAAUCAUUCAGUCGUAUAUACCGACUGCUUACUGUGUGCAAAACACUGUACUAAGCACUUGGGAGAGUACAAUAAUAAUAAGCAGACACAUUUCCUGGCCAAAACGAACUUAUCGUGUGCCUGAUGUCCGUAUCACCUGUUCAGGAACACAAAGCUAACAUUUGGGCUCUUUUUUUACCACAUUAUCUCUCUUAGGUGCUCACUCUUACUUUAGUUUGGCCAGAGUACUAAAUUUAAGAGAAAAUGCAGUCAGCCUAUGCUUUAAACCCCAAAUAUGUACUAAAGUAAAAUAAAAUGAUCAUUUUAGUAUUAUC